rnacentral:rRNA from 1 species
UACGAAGGGGGCUAGCGUUGCUCGGAAUCACUGGGCGUAAAGGGUGCGUAGGCGGGUCUUUAAGUCAGGGUGAAUCCUGGAGCUCAACUCCAGAACUGCCUUUGAUACUGAGGAUCUUGAGUUCGGGAGAGGUGAGUGGAACUGCGAGUGUAGAGGCGAAAUUCGUAGAUAUUCGCAAGAACACCAGUGGCGAAGGCGGCUCACUGGCCCGGUACUGACGCUGAGGUGCGAAAGCGUGGGAGCAACAGGAGU